ensembl:lncRNA
AGGAGGGGGGGGGGGUGCAUAAGAUGAAAUUAAAGGCGGUGAAAGGAAGUGACUGAGCACGAGAUAGACGUCUGAAAGAGAAGGACGGUGAGCAGGAAGAGGAGGUGAAGGACGUGAAGGACGGAGACGUCUCAGAGAAGUUAAAGUGCACGACGGGUCUCUUCUGCUGCUCGGCCUGCUGUUCGUCUCAUUUGUCUUGUCAGUGCAGCUACUCUCAUUAUGCAUGAGCAGGCUUAGUGAAGUUAAGUUAAGAAUGGCACUAAACAAGCCAAAGCAAAUAGUUCGUAAAUAAAAGGACAUUGGUAACGUUCAGAUGAAGGCUUACAUGACUGAUACCAGUGUAGGUUUAAAUCAACCUAAAGUUUCUCUUUGUUUACAGAGGAUGAAGCUACUUAGAGAUCAGAGAGAACCUGGGAGAGAGAGAGAGGGAGACAAAGAGAGAGUGGGAGAGAAAUGAAGAGCAAAGGGGAGGAGACCGGACGGAAUGAGAUAAAACUGGACAAAUUAGCGUUUUCUCCUUUCAUGUGAGGAAACUCUCAAAUGAGUUUUCUGCCCGGUAACCCCGGCAGAAGUCCCAUUAGCGUUUAUCUCGUCGGCUUACGGCCAGCCGGGGGAAGCGAAGGCACACGUUCCUGCACUCCAUCAGGAGGCCCCAUCCCGCCGCUAUCGUGACACUCACACAGACUUACGCACACACGGUCACAGUGGACGCACACAAAAAGGUCACUCACGCACGAAUGGAAAAUAGAUCCGCACACGGCAUCUUGUUUGACUUUGAUGAGAGGUUCUAGCUGAUUCGAUUCAGGGCACCCGGACAGGAAGGAGGACGAAGGCUGAUUACGGACAAGGAGAGGAAGACGGAUAAGGAAAGCGGACGAGUGAUCGGGUGACACCGAAUAAGAAGUGCGAGAAACGAGACCUUCGAGGAGGCCACGAGGCCGCGGGACGAGACGAGAAACCUUUACACCAAAGCCGAAAAAAGCAGAUGUGAGCGAGAGUGGACGCAGAAAGAAAAAGACAAACUCUCCCGCCAGACGACUUGCGCACAUUUCCAGCGCCUCACAACUCGAAAGCCACUCCAGUCCCCCUGUUUUCGGAUGACUGUGAACGUGUGUGGUGUUGUGGUUGGCAGCGGUGGCAGUUUCCAUUCAACGAGAGGAGAGAAGAAAAAACUGGAAACAUGUUGAAACACGUCCCAGAUGCUCCAGAUGUGCAUCUCAACACAAUCUAGAUAGUUCUAGUUAUUAAACACUUAAGUAUACGUGGUGGCUUCCAAACAAGUCCUGUCUGGCUUGCUGAAGCCCAUUCUGCCUAUUGGAUGCGACGGAGGGGAUGUGGGUUGAUGAGGGUUGAGCGCUGUGAGCCGGACCGGGGAACCCGGCAUGGAAAAAAAACGGUAGAAGCUGGAUGAACGAGAGGAAGAAAAUUCUUUCCUUGUAAUGCCAGCGAGCAUUAUGUAGUUAGCGUCCUCUCGAGGAGACGGCCCGGCGCUUCAGCUGGCGUGGAUCCUUCCUGCGACAUCACUUGGUGUUGUUUCUACCCAACGCGUGUGCGAUGUGGGCAAAGAGCUGGACGACAGCCGCUGGGACUGUUUGCACAGCCACUCACAUGCAAUUUCCAUUCAGAUGGAAUCAUGUUUAUCCUCCUAUGAAGAAUUAUACUGCGUUCUUUUACUACCAACGUGGAGGUUCACAGUAUGUGCGGCUUUCUUUUCGAAUGAUUUGGAUAAACCGCAGUUGGGCAACAAUAGAAAUUUGUCUUCGAAUCUGGUGUUUUUUCAAAAAAAACAAAGCGAUAAUGUUGAAAUGUCCGAGGCGACCACACACGUACGCAGCCAGAGCAGCUGACUAUGUCCAUCUACGGAGGGGAAAGUGUCACGCAGUCUACGGGAUGGGAAACUAAGUGGUGAAUCAUCGUUAUUUCUUUUUUUCUGUUUAACAACCCAAACUGUUGUUUUUUCUUUGUUGUACUGACUCACGCGUUGUUUAAGUGUUUUGAUUCUAAAAUACUCGGAUACAGAACACAAAGCGCUCCGGGUAUUAGUCGGGGACUAACGGGUUCCUAAUUUCAUUAUAUCCGUUUUACCUCCUGCAUUAAUCACAAAUGACAUCAUAAUCUGCACACAAAAACACCAAUGACUAGAAAACAAGUGUCUCUAGUUGUAAGCUUCAUGUGGGGUCAGGGUGUGACCCUGUGGCUCGUUCUUUCCUACCUUCUUCUUCUUGAUGUCAUCCGUCCGAGUGCAUCAGUCACAGAUGUGAUACAGAUGUUACCGAUUGGUUUACUUCUGUAUUGUUUUGAAUUGCAUUAGUCAGUUUGUGGGUUUCACAUGUGCUCAUAAAUGGGGAGGCGAUUAUGUAUGACUGAAAUCAGGCGCAAAACCAAAGAGAACGUAAGACAAAAUGCAUGUCAAUAAAACUGUUAAACCGGUGAUGUUGAAAGUCAUUUUAAAUGACAUUCACUCAACGCUGGCAAGGUUUACCGAUGACCAGACUUCUUUACCCACAAUCACUAUAGAGGGAAAAGUAAAUCCCUAACAAGCUGAAUCAAGGAAGUUCCCGUUAUCCACUUCCUGUCUCCUAAUUGGGCUUUUUCAUGGCAUGCCCCCCAGUGGUAUUACUGCACCACCGCGGUGCCAUCUCAGACGUGUCCACCCCUUCUCAUUUCCCUCUCUCAUUCUGUCCUGAUAGCAGAGCAAGCCACUGCCCGACCUGCUUCAGUGGACAGGUAGCAAAGGGACAGAGACAUGAAAGGAACCAAAAGCUUCUCUCGAGCUCUUUAUUUGCUGCACACAUCUACGCACAUGCAUACGGGUCUUUUCUUUCACGGUGCAGAUUAAAAUCCCACUGAAGCAAAAUGAAGACCAGAUGUUACAUUAGUAUCAAAUCAUUUCAAAAGCAUUUCAAUACUUCCCUUUUUCCCUUUUCUACACAUUCUUUUAAUUCCCCUCGUUGUCUUUAACAUUGUUUAUUACGUUUCUUUCAUUGCCAAUGGAGUGUCUAAUACAGGAAAAAGAUAAAGAGAGAAGCAAUCUGAUCCAUACUCAUACGCAGACAUACAAGGACACCAUAAGGCCACACGACCUCAAGCCCGCAACUUCCACAUGAUUAAAGGAUCAGUUCACUCCUUUUUUCCUCACUCACCUCUAAUGGUGUUUAUUCAUGCAGAUCGUUUAAAGACAUUGGUCUUGGAAGUGUUUGUCUCCUCCAAAACACAAUGGGAGGUGGAUUGAAUUACAUUUGUUAUCACUUUCUUCGUUGGAGGAAGAUGGAGUUUAAUUGCCGCAUUCAUCCACGUUGCCAAGAUGCAUUUUGUAAGUGCACGCCCUUUUUUUCCAAAACAAACCACUUUGCGGGUCAGGUUCCAGUCGCUGAGCCACGUGGGAUGACUUGGUCUUCCCCCGCGAAGGAGGGAUGGGAAAGAAAUGCGAUGCGACGGCAGGAAGAUAUUCCUCAACCUCAGAUGCCACAUGGCAGCGUUCUGCGCAAAGUGUUCAGUCACGAUACUUGAGCCCAGCGCAUAGAAACACGCAUGCAAAAGCCCAGUCCUGGACACACACACACACACACACACGGCUCUUCCCAAGCAUCUCCAUCUGUAGUUAUAUACCUCUAAUUAGAACAUGACCGGGUAUGACUCAGUUUGAGGGAAGUCAUCGUUUCCCAGACGUCCUGACUUUCCGUGCCCUCGGUGCUCGGUGAUUGUUUUUUUAGGGUUUUUUAGGAUGUAAUAAUAGCAAAUAUAAAAAAUAAAGUCAACAUAUUUUGUGAA